UACGGAAGGCAGCAGUGGGGAAUAUUGGACAAUGGGCGGAAGCCUGAUCCAGCCAUGCCGCGUGUGUGAAGAAGGCCUUUUGGUUGUAAAGCACUUUUAAGCGAGGAGGAGGCUACUAGUACUAAUACUACUGGAUAGUGGACGUUACUCGCAGAAUAAGCACCGGCUAACUCUGUGCCAGCAGCCGCGGUAAUACAGAGGGUGCGAGCGUUAAUCGGAUUUACUGGGCGUAAAGCGUGCGUAGGCGGCUGAUUAAGUCGGAUGUGAAAUCCCUGAGCUUAACUUAGGAAUUGCAUUCGAUACUGGUCAGCUAGAGUAUGGGAGAGGAUGGUAGAAUUCCAGGUGUAGCGGUGAAAUGCGUAGAGAUCUGGAGAAUCCGAUGGCGAAGGCAGCCAUCUGGGCCUAAUACUGACGCUGAGUCGAAAGGCAUGGGGAAGGCAAACAGGAUUAAGGAAUAACCC
rnacentral:rRNA from 1 species